CAUGUGGGGCUAGACACUGGUCUUGCCACAUCAACCACACAGAGGGAAACAGAAGACAGAUCACAAAAGAGUCACACUCAUCUGGGUGAUCCUGCCCAGCUCUAAAAGUCUGCUAAGCGUCUGGAACAUGAUUGGCAAUGCCACCCUGGGAAGGAAACUGGAAGGGGCUUGAACCAGGAAGCAGUCAUCAAAAGAUGGAUUAAAGACGAUAACGGGAUCAUUGACUUCAAGUUUGAUCAUGAUGAGCUGAGGCAUGAAGAACUCCAUCUCUUGCUGAGAACCUACGUGAUGGAAUUCUGAUUGUCUCAGUUGUUUCCCCGCAAAAGGGCCUACUGCUGAUCCCCUACAUACCUUGUGU